rnacentral:rRNA from 1 species
AGCUCCAAUAGCGUAUAUUAAAGUUGUUGCAGUUAAAAAGCUCGUAGUUGGAUUUCGGAGCCGACCGGGCGGUCUGUCGAGAGACACGCACUGCACGGUGGCUCUUCCUCUCGGAGGCCCUGGCUGCCCUUAACUGGAGCGGGCAGGGGAUUCGGGACGUUUACUUUGAAAAAAUUAGAGUGCUCAGCGCAGGCAAUCCUCGCUUGAAUAGUCGUGCAUGGAAUAAUAAAAUAGGACGUCGUUUCUAUUUUGUUGGUUUUCGGAAAUCGACGUAAUGAUAAAUAGGGACAGUCGGGGGCAUUAGUAUUCAGGCGACAGAGGUGAAAUUCUUGGACCGUCUGAAGACUAUCGACUGCGAAAGCAUUUGCCAAGAAUGUUUUCAUUAAUCAAGAACGAAAGU